rnacentral:rRNA from 1 species
GACAGAGGUGCCGAGCGUUAGGCGGAAUCACUGGGCUUAAAGCGUGUGUAGGCGGACAAUUAAGUACCUUGUGAAAUCCCACGGCUUAACCGUGGAACGGCUGGGUAUACUGGUUGUCUUGAGCCACUUAGGGGCGAGCGGAACAAAUGGUGGAGCGGUGAAAUGCGUAGAUAGUCAGGAGGAACACCGGUGGCGAAGGCGGGUCUCUGGGCCGAUGACUGACGCUGAGGAGCGAAAGCAUGGGUAGCGAACAGG